rnacentral:lncRNA from 1 species
UUCAAUCUAAACACUUCAUCCUCGCUGUAUCCAUUUCUCCACUGCAGCACUACAUCUUAUAAACUACCGGCUCAUCUCCACAAUAUUCAUUUCAUUACACUAGCUCCCCUCCAUCACAACACCCCACUACCAUUUUCUCCUCGGCCACGAACCGAGAGCGAAAAGAAAGAGAGAACCGAGCCUUCCAUUUCUGUCUCUGUCCGUAGGCUUGAAGGAAAGAGAGAGAGGCUUGUUGUUUUCUUCGUCUCACCUGCGAGCUGGUGAAGGGGACCGAGAACCAUCACUUUCUUCAUCAACUCCACCGCCUGCAACAGCCAAGCAAAUCAACCAAAUCCCAAGCCCAUCAGCGAGCCGAGGGGGAAAAACAAAUCGCAGCAGCUUGACGCACGAACUAAGCUUCCAGCUGAGGUAGAUUCUGGUUUUAGAUUAGCUCACUAGAGGUAGACGAAAUUGUUUAAGGGCUUGCAUGUGAUGUUUAAGCACUUGGAUGAUGAAUUGGGACACCAGAAAUGUGAUCAUGAAUGAAAAUUGAAGCUGCCAAGAGCUUGAGCUGGAAAAUUCAGCUUGUAAUCGGCCAAUCUGUGAUAAUCCGAGAUUAGAUAUGCGUUUAGCUAAUCAUAAACUAGGUAAUUACGCUUUGCAUGAUGAUUAUCAGCUUUGAUUAAGUAAGAAAAAAAAUGAGAAGAGCAGAAUCCGUUUGCAUGCAAGUUAACCGGGGGAAAAAUUGAAUGAAUUUAUGGUUGAUGGAUGAUUUUGUUGAUAAUCGAACUUGGCUAUGGUUUGAAAUCUGAUUCUGGAACCAAAACGGAUAGGUAUUCAAUUAAUCUAGCCGUGCAUGUGAUGCUUGAGCCGAGGAUAGGAUAGAAAAAAAAAAGAGAAAAGGGGAAAUCUGAAUUUCUAGAAUUCCUUGUGAAGUGGAGCUGCCGUGACUUUCUUUUAUGUUCUUGAGUUAAAAUUUUGGUUAAGUUGUUGAAAGAAUUGAUUGUUGGAUGCUAAGAGCUAAUGAUUGAUGAAGCUCUUGGCCAUUUGAGUAAUUUUUUUUACAAUUGCUAAAUUCUUGGUGAAAUUGUUUAAAUAGCCGGCCGAAAUACACUUGGAAAGUCGACAAAUUUUGGUUGGAAAAUUGGUGAGUGGGCUCUAUGAAAUCCCACAAUGACUUGGAUGAUCUGAUUAGCUAGGAUUGGAUGCUGAUUGUGUUGAUUAAGUGCUAAUUUAGUAGAGUUAAGUGGAAAAAUUGAAAAGGAAGUCAAAUGAGGAGUUGCAUGUGAAGAUGCUGUUUCUGCCCUGCUAUUUUUGUGCAAUUUAGUGUAAUUUCUUGAAGGCCAAUUGACUUGUUUCUGAUGCAAAUGUGAAAUAUAGGCUGUGUUUAAAGUUUCCUCGAAAUUUUACGUACGUAAUUCGGGUGAGUGCGUGUUGAGAUUUAGAAAAUCUGCGAAAACUGGGAAAUGAUUCCCGUCACUACUAGACAGCCAGCUUGUUUCGGCCAUAACUCUGUACUCCGAUGUCGAAAUUGAGUGCCGUCACUGGCAUUUGAAACUAGACAUUCCGAGCUUUCCAUUGGUACCAAAUGCACGUUCUGGUUCUACUUGAGUGAGCCACACCAUUCGAUUGAAAACCACCGUCCGGUUUCGUUUCUCUCCAGGAGACAGGACAGGACCUGUAUCUUGAUGCUCAAAAACGAGUUUUUUGUGAAUGGAAUUUGAAAAUGGUUUCUUCUGUGAAAUUAUAGCCCUACAAAUGUAUUUUCCAACGCCACCAACCAUGCUCAAUUCCGAGUUGAAUUGAGUGAGUGGUGAUCAAAAUACGGAACCUGCCAUGCUCUUGGAAAUCCUAACUUUUGGACAGAUUUGAUGCAAGGCUUGGUAUAGACUUGCUAAUUAAAUUUCUUGGUGUUAAACACCCACCAAAGGUACCAUGAAUGUUCUUUAGAUUUUGCCUAUACAAAUGAACCAUGUGGAGAGGAUUUUCUCUUGGUCAAAAGUUUAGAAAAGGAAAUUUUCAUACACAAAGCAGCCUUGCCUUAAAAUUUUGGAAACUUGAGUGAUUUUGUUAAGUGACUUUCCGUGCAUAUUUUUCUAUGAAAUUUGACAGAGGAAUAGCCCUUAUAUGGUAGUAUUAUACUGCUAAUUAUGGUGUUAUUCUGAGACCAUUUCAUGACUCAAAUAAAUUACCAAAGUUUAUGACUUGAGUUUGAAAACCCUUGUUUAACAAGAAAAUUUUAGUAACUUUGAGCUUAUUUUUGAAUGCUUUCCAUGUGGAAUCUUAGAAAAGUGUAUUCUAGGAACUUUUAGUACUUUGGAAGAGGUUUCCAUUGGUACCAAUCUUUCUAAUUUUGACAUGUAGAAUGGGAGAUACGAUUUUUCAAAGUAUCGUAUCAAAACUGAAAAUUUUCCGGAUUCCACGGAAGGGAGUUUUUCAAGUACUCCUUAUUCUUUCGAUAUUAUUCAAAUGUUUUAUCCUUGAUUUUCAUGAUGUAGACUUAAUUUCUCUUGUACCUUAAAACCCCGCUUGAGAGUAUAGAUUUAGGAUAAUUAAGGCUUGUUUCACGAGAUUCUUCCUAAGAUUGUACUAUGAUACGAUCUUCAUCAAUAGUAGGGAUUGUAAAUGAUAGACUAUUACCAUUUGUUCAGGCGCACACGAGGACCUUCAAGAGGAUCCGACAGAGGACGCUUGAACUUCAAAUUGAACCUAUUGCUCUUAUUGCUAGGUGAGUGUUCCAUAUAGGAAUACGUAAUUGAAUAAGUCUAGGACAUGCUCAUUUCAUGAUUAUUAAGUGUUAAGUUUUUACCAUACUCAUGUCUUUAUAAAUAAUGAAUACUUGCAUUGCAUACCGACAUGAAUUGGUUAAAUGAUUAACCAUAUCAAAUGACUAUAUGAACUCGAUACAUGUUUAAUUUGCUAGAUUACUUGCUUAGCCUACUUGGUUUUGUAAAAUGAGUAUCCCUGCUUGUUCUAUGCUUAUUUGGUUAAAGUGCUUUCUUGACUCGAUAUGUGAUAAUUUGGAAAACGAUUUUUGAUCCAUCGAAGUGAGCAGUGUGUACUUUAUCACACUAGCCUUUCGAGUGGUGAAUUGGGUGAAAUGUUUUCGUGAAUAUCUUACGUGUUGUGACGUCGUUGGGUGAAUCCCUCGACCAGUUUAUGUGUUGUGACGUCGUUGGGUGAAUCCCUCGACCAGUUUACGUGUUGUGAAUCUCCUCGACUCUCGCGUGAUAAAAAUAAGAUAACGGCCAAUGAUGGCCUAUUAAUAUGGCAAAUGCCUGUCAAAUAACCGUCACUACUCAACCGUUAACCGUAAACCGUGAACCGUUUACCAACCCACAUGACUAUUCGAUAUCCGUGAAUUACAUGCUUCCAUGAAAUCAACUUGUAUUGCUUACGUGCUUACGUGCUAAGUAUCCACUUGAUUACUUGAUUAUCAUGAAUCACAUGUUAUAUGAAGUUGUCCAUCAUUGAUAGGCGAGUGUGUACUUUACCUCACUCGACCUACUCAAAUGAUGAAUUUUACCUUUUGUCGAAUUACUUGUUUACCUGUGCAUGCUGUAAGCUCUAAGCUGAACUUGGGCCCUGCCUCGGUUACUGACCUACUCGAGCCAGGACUGGGCUCGGUCGGGUAGGUUGGAACCCUGGACAACCGUUUCGGUAUACUCGAGUACUACCACUGGAGGGAUAAGGUGAUGGCCAGUCAAACCAAGGGGAUCCGGAAGUCAUAAGGUGCAGAUGACCGAUGAAGUUCCACUGGAACACCGUAUCCUAUAGUAUAUGUUUACCUUGUAUCAUGAUAAUUGUUUCAUGCUAAAAUGGCAACAUGAAAUCAUGAACUAUACAUGCUAAAUGUUUCAUACCAUGAUAAAUGUCUCAAAUUACCGUAUAAUGAUUAUUACCUCAUGAUAACAUGCCAUUGUGUAAUGUUGAACCAUGCAUAUGAUAUGCCCGACUUUCUUGAUUUGUUUGAACUGUUAGAGUGUCUUGGAACCUCACUGGGCUGUGUAGCUCACCCCACGUCAUUUAUUUUUCCUGACAGGUCCUGGCAAAUGGGGCGAUCUGAAACCUAG